rnacentral:lncRNA from 1 species
GACGGACGGUGGUGGUGCGUGGGACCCUACACCCAACCGCUCUGUGCUCGUUCGUCCACAUUCGCCCCGCGUGGCACGGAGGGACACCCGCAGAGUCAUCCAUCCGUGAAGGCCUCGCCAGAUCCGAGCUUGGCUCCGAGGCGACGAGGGCGAACCUCCCACCCGGUCUCCUUGUCGCCACCCCUACAGCCACCACGGUACGGGAUCUGGGCUUCGUGGGUGAGACGAGAGAGGUGGGGCCAUCCCA